rnacentral:rRNA from 1 species
GAUGAACGCUAGCUACAGGCUUAACACAUGCAAGUCGCGGGGCAGCAUGGGGGUUGCUUGCAACCCCUGAUGGCGACCGGCGCACGGGUGAGUAACGCGUAUCCAACCUGCCCUUCACCACGGGAUAACCCGGCGAAAGUCGGACUAAUACCGUAUGUUGUCCAUUGACGGCAUCCGAUUUGGACGAAAGGCUUAGCGGUGAGGGAUGGGGAUGCGUCCGAUUAGCUUGACGGCGGGGUAACGGCCCACCGUGGCAACGAUCGGUAGGGGUUCUGAGAGGAAGGUCCCCCACACUGGAACUGAGACACGGUCCAGACUCCUACGGGAGGCAGCAGUGAGGAAUAUUGGUCAAUGGGCGGAAGCCUGAACCAGCCAAGUAGCGUGCAGGAUGACGGCCCUAUGGGUUGUAAACUGCUUUUAUGCGGGGAUAAAAGAAUUCACGUGUGGAUUUUUGCAGGUACCGCAUGAAUAAGGACCGGCUAAUUCCGUGCCAGCAGCCGCGGUAAUACGGAAGGUCCGGGCGUUAUCCGGAUUUAUUGGGUUUAAAGGGAGCGUAGGCCGCCCCUUAAGCGUGUUGUGAAAUGCGGGUGCUCAACAUCCGACUUGCAGCGCGAACUGGGGGGCUUGAGUGCGCCGAAAGUAGGCGGAAUUCGUGGUGUAGCGGUGAAAUGCUUAGAUAUCACGAAGAACUCCGAUUGCGAAGGCAGCUUACUGUAGCGCAACUGACGCUGAUGCUCGAAAGCGUGGGUAUCGAACAGG